CGCAACUUUGCGCCGACGGUGGAUACCAUCUGCAUCUUCAAGCUGCACGGCGAGAGGGGGCUACUGUGGCAUGGAGUGGUUCACGACUACCCUUUCAGUGACCCUGUCAUUUGCCCUUCCAAUUUCCUCCAAAGGAAGCAUGGUUCAAGUGAGACCAAGGUCGACGAACACCGUCCUGCUGCAGCAGGGCUUGCGGCACUGGCGGCCGCGGAGAGUAAGCAAUGGGUCGAUUAAGAGUCAGGGAGCGUACGUGAUGAAAGGCAUCGAGACAUAGCACACCUUCUGCUGGAUCGAUCCAGACUUAUUGUUGCCAGGUCCUUCUUACUAGUUAGGUGGUUCAUGUUCGAAAGUAGCAAAUUAAGCUUGCCUCUGGGCUUUAUUCUGGUUCUGGCGUGGAUGUUUAAGACUCCUUCCCUUCAAUUUGUCUCAGCCUUAUCUUUUGGUCGUGACGCAUUUGUGGAACACAGAGAGCAUGUGUUUGCUUGUUAGUUCAUCCUAUAUGUUGAACCCGCAGUUUCUGUCAUUAUUGAAAACCGUAUCCGUGGAGGGAUGCCAAUCUGUGCUA